AAGACAAAGUGGAGAACUGAUAGGCCUGAGCCUUUUUACUUCAAUUAUGAGAGAUACAAUAAGAUCAUCAGCUGUAAACCCAUUUCUUGCUGGUGGCUGUGCCUUCUAUUUUCAAGCACCUCCAAAGAUCCUGCUGGUUGCUGAGGACCACUCUACACUCCUGUGUUAAUAGCCCUCAGGCUGACCUGGGCCUGCAGCUGGAGAGAUCAAGUUGAAUGAAGAAGAAUAAUUGCUUAGGAAAAUCACAGAAGGAUUCUCUUUGAAGAAAGAAGAGGGAGAUUUAGACAGAGGACAGACACAGAGAAGACCGCCAUGUGAAGACAAGGGGAGAGAAUGGAGUGAUACAGCUAUAAGCCAAAGAGCACUGAGGAUUGCUGGGGCCCCCAGAAGCUGGAAGAGACAAGGAAGGAUCUUCCUUAAAGCCUUGAGAGGGAGGGUGGUCCUGCUGAUACUUGGACUUCAGACUUCUAGCCUCUAAAAUUUGUGCGUUGCUGAGGAAAUGAAGAACAUCGCAUUCAAAACCUCAUUUCCUCUCUUAACUACAAGGGAUUUAGCAUCAAAGGACUUCAUACCCAGACUUCUACCUUUGUAAAAACUCAGCCUGCAAAGAAAACCAGCAGGAGGCGCUGCUACCCUUUCUAAGAAUCCUUUGUCUUGCGCUGUAAGACAGUGACAUCUGGAUUAUGAACCAAAGAUGAUCAAGUCUGAUAUUUAUGACACUCCAGUUACAAACCUGAAAAAAGAAAGGUUUAUGGUGGUGUAAUUUAUAUGCUUUCUUUAAAAGUCACAUGAACCGAGUUUGUGUAAGCAAUCUGUUUGCCAUGUAAAAAUAUCCUCAUUUAGUCUGGCAAAAUCACCUUGUGGAAAAAAAGGAUGACCCAAGCUUUGGAAACAUUGAUUUAACGUGAUCCAAAUUCACAGGUCAGUUUAAGGUCAUCUGAGCUAUAAGGGGUCGUAGGAACUUGGAUGUGAUUUCUCAGUGUGGAAACAAGGGAGGUGGAAAGGUGAUUUUGAUAAAUGAAGGCAGGAGGAGCUUUUCAUAGUUCUUACACUA